rnacentral:lncRNA from 1 species
CAGACUGCACAGAUGGAACAUGGAAAGGCUUUUAACAGAAAUGAAUACUUUCAGACUAGGUUUGAAGGACUGAGUAGGAGUAAACUAAAAGAGAAAAAGCAGGACAAAAGAAGCACCACUUUGGAAGCUCAAAGCCGCACUGGAAACACAGUCUUUCAGGAUGUCUGAAAGGGGCAAGUCUGUUUGUGUGGGGUAAGAAAUGCGGGGAGACAAACGGACAGUGGACAGAUUGCAGAGAGCUCUGUGUGCUGAGAGGAGGGUGCAGACCAGAUUUUUAAAUUGAGAAUGCAACAGUGAAGGAUUUCAAGCUUGGAGUGAGAGGGGAGACUACGAGCCUGCAGUGAUAAGGCAAAGCUGAAGAUUUCAGAGCCAAGGCCACACCCUACAGUUGCCAUGGAAUGGGGUGGCACAGUGGGCUUUGGAGGUAAAGUCUGCAGUUGAGAAGUUCAAGGGUAGUAAGUACUUAAUGCCAGGUCAAUCAUCCCUUUUAAGACACAGAUAUCAUCUGCAGCGUUUUCAGGAACAGCGAUAGAGAAGAAAAGCGGGCAGCUACUAGAUAUUCAAAUCUUCCACAAAUGUCAGGGAGAGAGUCAGGCAGUUGGUAGAAGAGACCUGUAAAGCUGGGUACCAUAAGCCUCAACACAGGUGUUUUUAUUUCAAGGCUGGGGAGCUGUGCUUUGGAAAAGCAAUGAGGAGGUAACAGGAAGUCUCUUCUCCUUCUAAAUCCUGUGUUCAUGGAGGAGGGUGGGUUUUCUCCUCUUGAGAGGGAGUUACAUACAAGUUUAAGGGAAAAGAGUCUGAAGUUUCCACCUAAAUGAUUCUGAAAGAAUCAGAUAUACAGGGAGUCCACGGAGCCUCCCCUGCAAGCAUCAGUACAGAAGUCGAUGAUAAUCUGGAUGCAAGCCCAGGAGUGUGGAGUCCACUGACUCAGAAGACCUGCAUCUAAGGAAUUGGCUGUUCUUAUCCUUAAGAAUGAUGACUGUGUUUCCAAUUCCAGUAGACCCUUUGAUGCGUUCUGAAUAAAUAUUCCUUUUGGAAUUGAACUUCUAGAGCCCUUAACUUUGGCCCACUCUAGUUUUCUGUCUGUUUUUUUUUUUUUUAAUAUUUUUUUUUUGUAAAGAUAAGGUCUUGCUUUGUUGCCCAGGCUGGUCUUGAAUUCCUGGACUCAAGCAAUCCACCUGCCUUGGCCUCCCAAAGUGCUGGGAUUAUAGGUGUGAACCAUUGUGUCCGAUCGCUCUCUGGUUUUUCUAAUAUCAUGAUCCCAACUCUGUUCUUUAUGUAAAUUUCCCUGAUCACAUGGUUGUAUCUUGGCAUUUCAAAAUCCUUGACAGACUUUGUUUUGUUUGAAUUUUACAAUGAACUUACAUGACUAGGCACGGUCCCCAGUUCAGUUUUAUAGACAAGGAUUCUGUAGGUCAAGAAGUGAAACACAACCAAUAACAGCAGGUGACAGGAUUUAAACCUGGGUCACUUUACUUAUUUUUUUCUACUCUAUCAUUAUGUGAAUCUAUCCUACCUCUGCAAUGACAGAUGGCCCUAGAGCAAGAACACUUCCUUACAUCUGGUAUACAGUCAAAAAGUAAAAAUUCCACACAAAUAAAUAUGGAAAGAAUUUUUACCUGCUCCUAUAGCUUCCUUUCAGGGACCUGGCACCCACAAAUGUUGGGUAACAGAAAGAGGACUUAUGUAACUUAACUCAAAGCAGAAAAGUUACAGAGACUGUCUUAGCAUAAUAGAGCAUGGAGUGGUCAUGCUUGGAUGUGCAAACUGUCUGAUAGUCUUGCACAUGGCUUGACCCCGAAUUACACUAGUGGGGCAAGUUGCCUGGGGCAAAGCAAACUUAUUGGACCCAAAGCUCUCAUUUGAGAAUUUUGUUGACUAAAAGUUAUAAAAUAUCAGCAAUUUCAUAUGGUUCAGCCUAAUAUUUUAUCACUCUUCCUUUUUCUAUUCUAAAACAAUAAUUUUUAAUAACGUAAGCUAUACACAUACAUGCUUUAAACAUACAACACCCUGACUAUCAUAUAGUGGAUAUUUCAAGAAGUAAAUGUUCAGCAUGUCUUCACCCCCACUUGAAGACAUAAUGUAUGUAUUAGGCUGUUCUGGCAUUGCUAUAAAGAAAUACCUGAGACUGUGUAAUUUAUAAGAAAGGAGCUUUAAUUGGCUCACGGUUCUGCAGGCUGUACAGGAAACAUAUUGGGUCUACUUCUGUGGAGGCUUCAGGGAACUUUGACUCAUGGUGGAAGGUGAAAUGAGAGCAGGCACCUCAUGUGACUGAAGCAGGAGCAAGAAAGAGAGAGCGAGCAAGGUGCCACACACUCUUAAACAACCAGAACUCUCUCUUGAGAAUUCACUCACUGUCUUGCCGUCAGCACCAAAGGGAUGGUCCUAAACCAUUCAUGAGAAAUCCUCCUCCAUGAUCCAAUCACCUCUCACCAGGCCCUACCCCCAACACUGGGAUUACAAUUCAAC